UAAGCCUGCGAGUCAACGUAGCAAUACGUGGCAUACGGCUCAGUAACACGUAGUCAACAUAACCAAAGGACGUGGAUAAACUCGGGAAACUGAGGCUAAACCGCGAUAGACCCAGAUACCUGGAAUGGUUUUUGAUUGAAAUCUAUAUGGCCUUUGGAUUGGACUGCGUCCGAUCAGGCUGUUGGUGAGGUAAUGGCCCACCAAACCUAUAACCGGUACGGGCUCUGAGAGGAGGAGCCCGGAGAUGGGUACUGAGACAAGGACCCAGGCCCUAUGGGGCGCAGCAGGCGCGAAACCUCUGCAAUAGGCGAAAGCUUGACAGGGUUACUCUGAGUGACUUUCGCUAAGAAAGUCUUUUGACACCUGUAAAAAUGGUGUAGAAUAAGGGGUGGGCAAGUCUGGUGUCAGCCGCCGCGGUAAUACCAGCACCCCGAGUGGUCGGGACGAUUAUUGGGCCUAAAGCAUCCGUAGCCGGCCUUACAAGUCCCCCGUUAAAUCCAACUGCUUAACAGAUGGGCUGCGGAGGAUACUAUAAGACUAGGAGGCAGGAGAGGCAAGCGGUACUCAAUGGGUAGGGGUAAAAUCCGUUGAUCCAUUGAAGACCACCAGUGGCGAAGGCGGCUUGCCAGAACGCGCUCGACGGUGAGGGAUGAAAGCUGGGGGAGCAAACCGGAUUAGAUACCCGGGUAGUCCCAGCUGUAAACGAUGCAGACUCGGUGAUGAACAGGCUUCGUGCCUGUUCAGUGCCGCAGGGAAGCCGUUAAGUCUGCCGCCUGGGGAGUACGGUCGCAAGACUGAAACUUAAAGGAAUUGGCGGGGGAGCAC
rnacentral:rRNA from 1 species